rnacentral:misc_RNA from 1 species
GAUGAAGAACGCAGUGAAAUGCGAUACGUAAUGUGAAUUGCAGAAUUCAGUGAAUCAUCGAAUCUUUGAACGCACAUUGCACCCGCCAGCACUCUGGCGGGCAUGCCUGUUCGAGCGUCAUUUCAACCAUCAAGCCCCAGGCUUGCGUUGGAGCCCUGCGGCUGCCGCAGCCUCCUAAAAGCAGUGGCGGGCUCGCUAUCACACCGAGUGCAGUAGAUUACUCUUCGCUCAGGGCGUGCAGCGGGUUCCGGCCGUGAAACCCCCUACUUUUAAAGGUUGACCUCGGAUCAGGUAGGAAUACCCGCUGAACUUAAGCAUAUCAAUAAGCGGAGGA